AUGAAAGAAGGGGCAACAAUGUCUGAAGAAGGGGCAACAAUGUCUGAAGAAGGGGCAACAAUGUCUGAAGAAGGGGCAACAAUGUCUGAAGAAGGGGAAACAAUGUCUGAAGAAAGGGCAACAAUGUCGGAAGAAGGGGCAACAAUGUCGGAAGAAGGGGCAACAGUGUCGGAAAAAGGACAGAUAAUUGCCUCUGAUACUGGUAGUGAUGAGGAGUUAGGUGAAGCAUUGUCUAAUGGCAACCCCAUACCACCUAAGAGGGGAAAGGGAAGGCCCAAAGGAUCAGGCUCUAAGACACCCAAGAUACUGAGGGUACUAGACAAGCAGCCACGAGGCAGGCCACGUAAAGUGGUUGACCCUAAUGCUGUUUCAGCAGAGCCAACUGCACCUCUGAAGCAUGGCCGGCCCCAAAAAGUUAAACAACCCAAAAAAAGGGGUAGGCCGAGGAAGAACCCACUAUCAACUGAGGAGGAAGAAAAGAGAAAGAAACCGAAAAGCGAACCUAAGGGAUCAAGAGUGUCAAAGCCUCUCGGAAGGCCGCGCAUCCAUCCCUGCAUGGAUCCCCCAGCCACCUCUGCCGAGCCACGGGGAAGAGGCCGUCCACGCAAGGCAAUAAUAGGUAAAGGUGUCCACUUACGGAAGAACCCACCUCCAACCUCUAAAGUUUCCAAGCCACCCGUUAAAGAUGGUUCCCCGCGAAAGAGGGGCCGCCCCUUAGGCUCCGUACUAGCAAACAAUGCCAAGAGAGCAGCAGAGAAGGAUCGUUCCAAUAGUGCACCCCCAGCCAAACGGGGGUGCACUGUUUCUCCAAUAGUAAAGCUUUACCGCUGCACCAAUGGUAAAGCAAAUGUGUUAGAUGAAGCUGCCAUCCAAGCCCAGAGGCGAAGAGGCAGGAGAAAGACUGUGAAAGUUGAUUAUACAACUUAUGAUUCAGAGGAGGAGGAAGAUGCAGAGAAAAAUGAGGACGAAGACUUGUCUCCAGUUGAAGAGGAAAUAAAUCCACACAGUGAUCAUCACAAGGCUAGCAAACCUGGUAAGGUGGUGGCAGCCCUAAAGAAGGUGGGGGUUGUUUCUAAAAGGAGGGGCAGGAAGCCUGGCUCAACCAAAAAGGUUCUAAAGUAA
rnacentral:lncRNA from 1 species